UACGAAGGGGGCUAGCGUUGCUCGGAUUGACUGGGCGUAAAGGGCGCGUAGGCGGUUCGUACAGUCAGAUGUGAAAUUCCUGGGCUCAACCUGGGGGCUGCGUUUGAUACGUGCGGACUUGAGUGCGGAAGAGGGUCGUGGAAUUCCCAGUGUAGAGGUGAAAUUCGUAGAUAUUGGGAAGAACACCGGUGGCGAAGGCGGCGACCUGGUCCGAUACUGACGCUGAGGCGCGAAAGCGUGGGGAGCAAACAGG
rnacentral:rRNA from 1 species